UCUGUGCAAAUACAAGCGUUUAUUGAUAACGAAACGAUAAUGUGUCAACAAUGAGAAUCAGAUACUUGGCUUAAUAAUUUUCAUUUAAAAUGUCUAAUUUGGAUAUAAUUCGGAAUACAAAACGAAACUUAAAAGUUUUUUUUUAAACGUUCCAAAGAACAAUAUGGAUUUCAAUAGAAAUACUAUUUCCACCGACAAUCAAGAUUUCCGGUAUGACCACUGUUAUUUUGACGAUUUUUCUAUCGGAUCGUCGGUAAGCGUGACCACAUGUGACAACAGCGAUGCCAGUUGGAAAAUUAGUAGACGUGUCGUUGAACUCGACACAUUGGCCGAAUCGCUUUCAGCAUGCAGUUCUUGCCAAGUGCCCAUGAAUUUACUUAACACAGUAGGAAGCAGGGAUUUCGGACAGGCAUGUGUUUUGGAAAUACAGUGUAGCAAUUGUGGUGCCAUCAAUAAUGUGGCUUCUGGACGGAAACAUGACAGAGUUUAUGACAUGAACACAAAGCUUGCAUUAGGUAAAUCACAAACUGGGUGUUUCACCUGGGACUUUCACAUCGAAAAUGGCCCUUCCCCGUGACCUCCAGCACAAAAAAGAAAGGCUAUAGCUGUUGCUCGUGCAGCAAAACAGCGACGCAUAAGACUAAAAACUGGAACGGCAUUCAAAGGACAGUGCAAGAAGUACGAGCGGGACCAAUAUACUGUUCAAACAUAGAGGACCAAGAUGUUGAAGUUACAACUUUACCCCCACCUGUACCCAAGCCUCGUCCAGCAGGGCUAGACACUACUGGGAAGGAAUUUGUUUUCUUUGAUUUGGAAACAAGAGGGUUAGAGCGUACUUCUCACAUAAUUCAGAUAGCUGCAGUGCAUUCAACUGGUCAGUUUUCAACAUAUGUGAUGCCUGAGAAGAAGAUGUCCUUGAAAGCGUCAGAAAUAACUGGAGUGACAGUUGUUGGCGACUCUAUGCUUGUUAAGGGACAUAAAGUAACAGCUGUCCCCAUCAAAUCUGCAUUGACAAGUUUUAUAACAUUCUUACAGAAAUUUUCACCAGAAAUUUUAGUUGGGCAUAACAUAGAGUGUAUUUGAUUGUAGUGUUGCUUUGAACAUCAACAUGUUUUUUUUCAUGUGUUACAUCUGAAAUAUUUCCAUAAGUAUGUACCGGGUAUAUAAUAAAUAUUUCUACGUGUAUCAAAUUUCAGUUGAUAACUUUAUUUGUUAUGGAGCAGUUAUUAUAAAGAUUUGUUUUAAUUACUAUUACAAUGUGAGUAAUUAUAUUUUUGAAAUUAAGUCCAUAUUAAAAGGUCUGUAGCCAAAAAAAAUCCACGGUGACCUAUCAAUUUCUUAAAUUCAUUUUUAUGCUAAGCUAGUUUACUUUAAUUAUUGAGAACUUCAAAUGAAUAUGAAAAUUACAUCAACAGAAAUUUGUAUCUGUAU